rnacentral:rRNA from 1 species
AUGGAGAUUGCCCACCGGAACCGGGAGCCCUUCAGCGUCAUGUCCGGCCGGAAGCGCCCGCGCCCGCUGGAGAACCUUCGCCAGCGGUUCCAGUCAGAGGUCGCCGCGGUCCGUCGCCUCCUCGCCGAGGCGGCCACCGUGCUUCCCGCCUCGUCCCCGUCGGCUCCCCGCGUGCGCGUCCGUCAAGCCGAGGAGCCUCCAGCCAAGAAGAGGAAGGCGUCCCCUCCCGUUCCGGUGAAGAAGAUGACGCUCAAGGAGAGGAACCAACUCUACGGGGACCUCGCGAAGCUAGCCAAGCUGUCUGAAUCCCAUGUACUCCCUGCUCAUAUCCUGGAGCUGCUGAAGAAGCACAGCCGCCGCGGCAUCUGCAACGAUUACAUCGAGAUCGAGAUGCACGCCGUCCAAGACGCGGCCCUUGUGGAGAUGCAGAAGCAGCUGGACAAGUUCGUUCGCGAAAGCAAGAAUCCGUCGACGCGUCAUCAGCACAAACAGAUGAUGGCCCAAGACCAAGAGGAGGACGAAGACGUGGACAUCGUCGGCGGCGUCUCCCCUUUGCCGGUCAGGCCGACACCAGUUCAGCUCGUCGAAGAGGACGAGGAGUACGUGGACAUCUGCAGCUCGUCGAAGAAUCUUGGCGGAGAUGCAACCAUCAGCGGCAGCAGCGGUUCGGAUUCUGAUUCUUCUCGCCAGAGCGUCGACAGUCCAGCUCCGGCACAGCGCGCCGCCAACACCACGCCUCCAACACGCGACCUGAUCGCCCGUGCCAACGAGAUUUUGGAAAGGCGGCGAAAAGAGGAGACGUCCCGGGCGAGGGAGAAGGCCCGUCAGGAGCUGCUCCAGAUGGAGAGGACGGCAAUGCCGAAGGACACCCUGGACGAGGACGUGAAGGCCCUUGGCAUUGAUCAGCACAACACGGCCCGGCCGGACAACUUGUUGCGACGGAUGGGACUCUUCCUCAAGCUUGACGACCACGACCUGAAGCAGCAGCAGCACCACCAGCACCAAAGCUGCCAAGAAGAUUUAGAGGAAGGGGAGAUUCGGCUGUGA